UACGAAGGGGGCUAGCGUUGCUCGGAAUCACGGGGCGUAAAGCGCACGUAGGCGGCUCUUUAAGUCAGGGGUGAAAUCCUGGAGCUCAACUCCAGAACUGCCUUUGAUACUGGGGAUCUCGAGUCCGGGAGAGGUGAGUGGAACUCCGAGUGUAGAGGUGAAAUUCGUAGAUAUUCGGAAGAACACCAGUGGCGAAGGCGGCUCACUGGCCCGGUACUGACGCUGAGGUGCGAAAGCGUGGGGAGCAAACAGG
rnacentral:rRNA from 1 species